rnacentral:rRNA from 1 species
CUGGGCUUGACAUGUUCCCGACGACGGCGGAGACGUCGUUUCCCUUCGGGGCGGGUUCACAGGUGGUGCAUGGUCGUCGUCAGCUCGUGUCGUGAGAUGUUGGGUCAAGUCCCGCAACGAGCGCAACCCUCGCCCCGUGUUGCCAGCGCGUCAUGGCGGGAACUCACGGGGGACCGCCGGGGUUAACCCGGAGGAAGGUGGGGAUGACGUCAGAUCAUCAUGCCCCUUACGUCCAGGGCUUCACGCAUGCUACAAUGGCCGGUACAGCGGGAUGCGACAUGGUGACAUGGAGCGGAUCCCUGAAAACCGGUCUCAGUUCGGAUCGGAGCCUGCAACCCGGCUCCGUGAAGGCGGAGUCGCUAGUAAUCGCGGAUCAGCAACGCCGCGGUGAAUGCGUUCCC